rnacentral:rRNA from 1 species
GACGAACGCUGGCGGCGUGCUUAACACAUGCAAGUCGUACGGUAAGGCCCUUUCGGGGGUACACGAGUGGCGAACGGGUGAGUAACACGUGAGUAACCUGCCCACAACUUUGGGAUAACGCUAGGAAACUGGUGCUAAUACUGGAUAUGUGCUCCUGCUGCAUGGUGGGGGUUGGAAAGCUCCGGCGGUUGUGGAUGGACUCGCGGCCUAUCAGCUUGUUGGUGGGGUAGUGGCCUACCAAGGCGGCGACGGGUAGCCGGCCUGAGAGGGUGACCGGCCACAUUGGGACUGAGAUACGGCCCAGACGCCGACGGGAGGCAGCAGUGGGGAAUAUUGAACAAUGGGCGCAAGCCUGAUGCAGCAACGCCGCGGGCGGGAUGACGGCCUUCGGGUUGUAAACCGCUUUCAGCAGGGACGAAGCUUUUUGUGACGGUACCUGCAGAAGAAGCACCGGCUAACUACGUG